rnacentral:rRNA from 1 species
UACGAGGGGGGCAAGCGUUGUUCGGAUUCAUUGGGCGUAAAGGGUGCGUAGGCGGCGCGGUAAGUCGGGUGUGAAAUCUCGGGGCUUAACUCCGAAACUGCAUUCGAUACUGCCGUGCUUGAGGACUGGAGAGGAGACUGGAAUUUACGGUGUAGCGGUGAAAUGCGUAGAUAUCGUAAGGAAGACCAGUGGCGAAGGCGGGUCUCUGGACAGUUCCUGACGCUGAGGCACGAAGGUCAGGGGAGCAAACGGG